GCCUCGGUGGUGUAGUGGUAGCACGCGCUCCCGGCAAUGGUGAAACGUGGAUUCAACUUCCGCCUGAAAACA